rnacentral:tRNA from 1 species
UCCCUGGUGGUCCAGUGGUUAAGACUCUUUGCACUUCUACUGCGGGGGCCCCAGGUUCCAUUCCUGGUCGGGAAA